rnacentral:sRNA from 1 species
UUUAUUGAGCUUUGUUUUACUUGUACCUUAAUAAAUCAUUCAUAGGGGUCAAUAUUUUUGUUUGACUGGGGUCAAUAAAUAUUUUUUAAUAAAAAUUCUAUUAUUUUCCAAAAGUUCACUGAGGUCAUUUGACCCCUAUAAUUCUUCAUUGGCUCCGUCCCUGUGUGUUGGGUAGGCACUUUGGAUCAAAGCUGUAUGUGAGUAUAAAGUUAAUAGCAUGCAGAGCAUUUAGCAUAUUCUCAAGGGACAUCAAAUUCCCCAGAGUGAAUAGAAAUUUGAUCAGUAACUGAAUCGUUAAAUAAUAAAACACAGAUAGAGUUAUAUCACCUGUAAAAAAUUGACAGACUACCUAAAAUGAAUUAAA